rnacentral:rRNA from 1 species
GAUGAACGCUGGCGGCGUGCUUAACACAUGCAAGUCGAACGGGAUCCACCGGGCUUUGCUUGGUGGUGAGAGUGGCGAACGGGUGAGUAAUGCGUGACCGACCUGCCCCAUACACCGGAAUAGCUCCUGGAAACGGGUGGUAAUGCCGGAUGCUCCAGUUGAUCGCAUGGUCUUCUGGGAAAGCUUUCGCGGUAUGGGAUGGGGUCGCGUCCUAUCAGCUUGACGGCGGGGUAACGGCCCACCGUGGCUUCGACGGGUAGCCGGCCUGAGAGGGCGACCGGCCACAUUGGGACUGAGAUACGGCCCAGACUCCUACGGGAGGCAGCAGUGGGGAAUAUUGCACAAUGGGCGCAAGCCUGAUGCAGCGACGCCGCGUGAGGGAUGGAGGCCUUCGGGUUGUAAACCUCUUU